UUAAACACCAAUUCUCAUUAUUAACUCAUUUAUUAUGCCACAGUCACUGUAGCUAAGCAGUGCUGAGCCUGUUCAGUACCUGGAUGGGGACCACAUAAGAAAGCUAUGUUGCUGUUGGAA
rnacentral:rRNA from 1 species